CGACCGGCUCCCUCUGGUCAGGUUACGUUGACGACCGGCUCCCUCUGGUCAGGUUACGUUGACGACCGGCUCCCUCUGGUCAGGUUACGUUGACGACCGGCUCCCUCUGGUCAGGUUACGUUGACGACCGGCUCCCUCUGGUCAGGUUACGUUGACGACCGGCUCCCUCUGGUCAGGUUACGUUGACGACCGGCUCCCUCUGGUCAGGUUACGUUGACGACCGGCUCCCUCUGGUCAGGUUACGUUGACGACCGGCUCCCUCUGGUCAGGUUACGUUGACGACCGGCUCCCUCUGGUCAGGUUACGUUGACGACCGGCUCCCUCUGGUCAGGUUACGUUGACGACCGGCUCCCUCUGGCCAGGUUACGUUGACGACCGGCUCCCUCUGGCCAGGUUACGUUGACGACCGGCUCCCUCUGGCCAGGUUACGUUGACGA